AAUAUCUUAUUUUCAUUAUAAUAAUUUUUGGAGUAAAAGCCUUAAUUUGUAUAAAUUUAAUUCAAAUUUGAUGGAUUUUUAAAGCAAAUUUUCGAAAUCUGGGAUCGUGUACCGAUACACGAUUCAGUACCGGUACGGGUACUGUAGCCGCGGAUAUAUAUCCGGUUACAGAGCUUUUGUUCUUUCUCAAAUCUGAACCAAACUUCGUUUUCUCUCUUUCUAAAACUCCCUGGUGCCUUCCUCUUCCAGAUCUACACGAUUUUCCUCUGAAAUUU
rnacentral:lncRNA from 1 species